UGGGGAAUUUUGGACAAUGGGGGCAACCCUGAUCCAGCAAUGCCGCGUGAGUGAAGAAGGCCUUCGGGUUGUAAAGCUCUUUUGUCAGGGAAGAAAAGGGUACGGCUAAUAUCUGUGCCUCAUGACGGUACCUGAAGAAUAAGCACCGGCUAACUACGUGCCAGCAGCCGCGGUAAUACGUAGGGUGCAAGCGUUAAUCGGAAUUACUGGGCGUAAAGCGUGCGCAGGCGGUUUUGUAAGUCUGUCGUGAAAUCCCCGGGCUUAACCUGGGAAUGGCGAUGGAGACUGCAAGGCUAGAGUUUGGCAGAGGGGGGUAGAAUU
rnacentral:rRNA from 1 species